UCUCACCUCACAGGCGCUGCCAGCUCUGCUUGUUUGUGCUUUUUCCCUGCCUAUUCCUUGCAGGUCCCGCGAGGAGAGGAUCUUGCCAGUCAGGACUCCUGGGCCCAGGCAGGAAAGGCGGAGCGGCAGGAGAGCACGGACAGAGUGCACGGCGCCCAGGAGUUCAGGUGGAAGGAGUUGGCUGCAUUUGAGAGAAAGCGCCACUCCUCACUGGAGAGGGCGUCUGAAGUGGCGGCAGCGACAGCGGAGGAAUGGCAGCCUCAGAGGGAUCUGCUGAAGGAAGCGGUUCCUCUGGCCGUGCCAAAGGUUUUCCGCCGGCAGCGGCCAGCCCACAGGGGCCUGGAGAAGCUGCUGCAGGAGUUCUCCCGCCAAGGGCACACCCUGUCCCAGGUGUGCAGAGAGAAGGCAGUGCUGGCACAGGAGAACGCUGCCCUGGAAGCACGACUCGCAGCCAC